rnacentral:rRNA from 1 species
CACGUAGGGCGCGAGCGUUGUCCGGAAUUAUUGGGCGUAAAGAGCUCGUAGGCGGCCUGUUGCGUCCGCUGUGAAAGCCCGGGGCUUAACCCCGGGUCGGCAGUGGAUACGGGCAGGCUAGAGGUAGGUAGGGGAGAAUGGAAUUCCCGGUGUAGCGGUGAAAUGCGCAGAUAUCGGGAGGAACACCAGUGGCGAAGGCGGUUGCCUGGGGCUUUGCUGACGCUGAUGCGCGAAAGCGUGGGGAGCGAUCCGG